UGUUUUCCCUUUAAGACUGCAUCAUCUUCUGUUCAUCCUUCUCUUCAUCAUUUCCUUCUGUUCCACCUGUAGAACUUUCCACUUAUCCAGACCCUUCCAUACCUAUCUCCUCUCCUCUUCCUCCUACAUCUGUUCCAGAACCUCCUUAUAUUGCUCCAGAUUCUACUGAUCCAGCUCCCAUUCAUUCUUUCAAUCCUGAUAUCUCUCCUCCUGCCUUGGCCUCUUCCUCAUCUAUUCCUGCUCCCAGAAAAUCUGAAAGACAGCAUAAUCCUCCCUCUUACCUUAAGGAUUAUGUCUGUCAACUUCCUGCAUUUUCUGGAUCCCUAUUCCUGCUCCCAGAAAAUCUGAAAGACAUCAUAAUCCUCCCUCUUACCUUAAGGAUUAUGCCUGUCAACUUCCUGCAUUUUCUGGAUCCUCUUCCUCUUCUUUGGAAGCUUAACCGCUAUAUUACUCUCAAGAUGCAUCUGUUCCAGC
rnacentral:lncRNA from 1 species